CCUACGGGUGGCAGCAGUGGGGAAUAUUGGGCAAUGGAGGAAACUCUGACCCAGCAACGCCGCGUGAAGGAUGAAGGUUUUCGGAUUGUAAACUUCUGUCGCGAUGGAUGAAGAAUGACGGUACUUCGCAAGAAAGCCCCGGCAAACUACGUGCCAGCAGCCGCGGUAAUACGUAGGGGGCAAGCGUUAUCCGGAUUUACUGGGUGUAAAGGGGGCGCAGACGGCAAUGCAAGCCAGGAGUGAAAGCCCGGGGCACAACCCCGGGACUGCUCUUGGAACUGCAUGGCUGGAGUGCAGGAGGGGCAGGCGGAAUUCGUGGUGUAGCGGUGAAAUGCGUAGAUAUUAGGAAGAACACCGGUGGCGAAGGCGGCCUGCUGGACUGUAACUGACGUUGAGGCCCGAAGGCGUGGGGAGCAAACAGGAUUAGAUACCCCUGUAGUC
rnacentral:rRNA from 1 species